rnacentral:rRNA from 1 species
GCACCUACGGGAGGCAGCAGUGGGGAAUAUUGCACAAUGGGGGAAACCCUGAUGCAGCGACGCCGCGUGAAGGAAGAAGUAUUUCGGUAUGUAAACUUCUAUCAGCAGGGAAGAAAAUGACGGUACCUGACUAAGAAGCCCCGGCUAACUACGUGCCAGCAGCCGCGGUAAUACGUAGGGGGCAAGCGUUAUCCGGAUUUAUUGGGUUUAAAGGGUGCGCAGGCGGACCAUCAAGUCAGCGGUAAAAUCGUGGGGCCCAACCCCAUCCCGCCGUUGAAACUGGCGGUCUUGAGUGAGCGAGGAGG